CAUGUCUUGAAACUCAAGCUUAAUUACUUCUCUGGGGCUUGUUUAUUUCAUCAUCUCCAGGGUUUGGAAUUUGACCUGUGAAGUCUGAGUGUCCAUUGAAUUUAUUAUUACACCUUCUUACUAAUCAGGCAUACUUUCUUGAUAGAAAAGUACAUCUGCCAUAGUACCUCCUAACAAUAUCACCUUCAAAUGUUAAGUCAUAAGAUAAGGAAAACCAUGAAAAGGGGGAAGCUAAUUUCAUGGAGGAUAAGUAUGAUGCUGUUUGCUGGCUUGUGUGGAGAACAUUUAAUAUAAAAGGUAUUUUUUUUCCUUCCAUUAGUAUAUUGCCACAAUCUUAAAAAUAAGAAUUUGUUGUUAGACACAAUGAAAUUCUCCUCUGGAAUCUUCAGAAAAUGGCAUUUUUCUAUUAUUGAUUACAUGCAUUGUAGAAAAUCAUAGAUUGCCUCACCCCAAAUAAUUUUUUCUAAAGUAACCAUUUUCUGGAUAUGUUAUAAUAUUUUCUUUGUGAAAAAUACUGAAAUACACUUACAAAAUUAUUUUAAUUUUACUAUUUUUUUCAAAGUUUUAAUAGCCAUAAUAAGAUAGUUUAACAUACAUUUUCAAAUAGUUUGAGGAGAGAUGACAAAUAGAAUGAGGGUUUCCAAUUAUCUGAAAACCAUAUUUUCUAAAUUUCCUCCAUU
rnacentral:lncRNA from 1 species